rnacentral:tRNA from 1 species
GGUUCCGUAGUGUAGUGGUUAUCACGUCGCCCUGUCACGGCGAAGAUCGCGAGUUCGAAUCUCGUCGGAAUCG